rnacentral:misc_RNA from 1 species
GAUGAAGAACGUAGCGAAAUGCGAUACGUAAUGUGAAUUGCAGAAUUCAGUGAAUCAUCGAAUCUUUGAACGCAUAUUGCGCUCUCUGGUAUUCCGGAGAGCAUGCUUGUUUGAGUAUCAGUAAACACCUCAACUCCCUUUUCUUUUUUGAAAUGGGAGCUGGACUUGAGUGAUCCCAACACUUUUCUCACUGGAAAGUGGCGGGUCACUUGAAAUGCAGGUGCAGCUGGACUUUUCUCUGAGCUAUAAGCAUAUCUAUUUAGUCUGCCUAAAAAACAGAUUAUUACCUUUGCUGCAGCUAACAUAAAGGAGAUGAGUUCUUCUGCUGACUGAUGCAGGAUUCACAGAGACAGCUUUGCGGCUGACUUUGUAAACUCGAUCUCAAAUCAAGUAAGACUACCCGCUGAACUUAAGCAUAUCAAUAAGCGGAGGA